CACGACAAUGGGUUGUGUGCUCUUUCCCGAAAGUGGGUAGCGCCUCUUGCUUGGCGCAUCAAUCUGUUGCGGCUAAAGUCCAUCCCAAGUCAGAGGCACUGGAGUAGGAUGACGUCCGAUGCAUCGGCGGCGGCUGGAUCUGUAAGAAAAGGCCCCACCAGAGAUGGCUCCGACGGAGACCCUCUGACACUUAAGUCAGAUCUUCUGCA
rnacentral:lncRNA from 1 species